rnacentral:rRNA from 1 species
GCGUAAUAGCUCACUGGUCGAGAGGUCCUGCGCCGAAAAUGUCCGGGGCUGAAACGCGCCACCGAAACUAAGGAAUCCGUAAGGAUUGGUAGAGGAGCAUUGCAUAUGGGAAGAAGCAGUACCGUAAGGAGCUGUGGACUAUAUGGAAGAGAGAAUGCCGGAAUGAGUAGCGAGAUAGAGGUGGGAAUCCUCUAGGCCGAAUAUCCAAGGUUUCCAGGGUAAAGCUGAUCUGCCCUGGGUGAGUCGGGACCUAAGGUGAGGGCGAGAGCCGUAGCCGAUGGACAACAGGUUGAUAUUCCUGUACUGCAGUAUAACAGAACUGUGGGGACACGUAAGGAGAGCGGGAGCCGGGAAUGGAAAGCCCGGUACAAGCGAGGUACCAGUAUGGUAGGAAAAUCCGCCAUGCAAUGGGAAGACGUGAUGUGGAGUGAAAUAUAGUAACGAAGCCCGUGAGCCAUGCGUCAAGAAAAGCCGCUAUUGUUUAUAUUGUACCCGUACCGUAAACCGACACAGGUGGAUGAGGAGAGAAUCCUAAGGCCGGCGGAAGAAGCAUUGUUAAGGAAUUCGGCAAAAUGACCCCGUAACUUCGGGAGAAGGGGUGCCUGCGAGAGCAGGCCGCAGAGAAUAGGCUCAAGCAACUGUUUAGCAAAAACACAGGUCUAUGCGAAACCGAAAGGUGAGGUAUAUGGGCUGACGCCUGCCCGGUGCUGGAAGGUUAAGAGGAGAGGUUAGCGCAAGCGAAGCUUUGAAUUUAAGCCCCAGUAAACGGCGGCCGUAACUAUAACGGUCCUAAGGUAGCGAAAUUCCUUGUCGGGUAAGUUCCGACCCGCACGAAAGGCGUAAUGAUUUGAGCGCUGUCUCGGCAAUACAUCCGGUGAAAUUGAAGUGCCAGUGAAGAUGCUGGCUACCCGCGCCAGGACGGAAAGACCCCAUGGAGCUUUACUCCAGUUUGGCACUGGGGUCCGGUGUUGCAUGUACAGGAUAGGUGGGAGGCUGAGAGAUAGUGACGUCAGUUGCUAUGGAGCCGCUGUUGGGAUACCACCCUUGUGAUAUUGGGCUUCUAACCAGCCGCCGUGAACCGGCGGUGGGACAAUGCCAGGCGGGGAGUUUGACUGGGGCGGUCGCCUCCGAAAGGGUAUCGGAGGCGCCCAAAGGUUCCCUCAGAAUGGACGGAAACCAUUCGAAGAGUGCAAAGGCAGAAGGGAGCUUGACUGCGACACCGACGG